rnacentral:rRNA from 1 species
GAUAACCUACGGGAGGCAGCAGUAGGGAAUCUUCCACAAUGGACGAAAGUCUGAUGGAGCAACGCCGCGUGAGUGAAGAAGGGUUUCGGCUCGUAAAGCUCUGUUGGUAGUGAAGAAAGAUAGAGGUAGUAACUGGCCUUUAUUUGACGGUAAUUACUUAGAAAGUCACGGCUAACUACGUGCCAGCAGCCGCGGUAAUACGUAGGUGGCAAGCGUUGCCCGGAUUUAUUGGGCGUAAAGCGAGUGCAGGCGGUUCAAUAAGGCUGAUGUG